rnacentral:rRNA from 1 species
GUUUAACAACAAGACCAACUUUGCUGGAAAAACAAGCCUUAAAAAUUAAGUUGUUAGAAGCUAGUAGAUCAACUAAGAAUUAGCGUAAAUUGUACAAAGAAAAAAAGAAAGAAAGAAAAAAAGAAAAGGAAAACAAAUAAGUUAACGCUUGAGCCGUAUGCGGUGAAAGUCGCACGUACGGUUCUGAGGAGGGGAAAGAGUGAAAACUCCUACCUAUUCCAACCACAGUACUUUGCAAAGACGUAAGUCUAAGUAUAAGGUAUGAAAUCUGCCCGAUGUCAUAGGCUAACUGACUUUCUAUUUUUAGGAAAGAAAGGAACCCCUGAUCAAUGGCGGCCUUAACUAUAAGGGUCCUAAGGUAGCGAAAUUCCUUGGCCGUUAAAUGCGGUCCAGCAUGAACGAUCCCAUGAUACAACAGCUGUCUCCGCGAUAGACUCAGUGAAAUUGGAAUAGCUGUGCAGAUACAGUUUACCCAUAGUUAGACGGGAAGACCCUAUGCAGCUUUACUGUAACUAGUUAUUGCUUGCGAUCGGAUUAGGUUGUAGAGUAUAAGGUAGUCGAUUAGACAAGGGAGAUUCCCCGUGAAACACCUUUACCUAAUAGGCCGUAAGCUGGUGGAGAUAUCACUCUACCCUUUUGACAUUGCUUUUUUAUUUAAUUGAGAAAAAAAAAAAAUAAAAAAGCAAAUAAAAGUUUUUGUUUAACUAAACAUUGACUUAUAUAAAUAUAGAUUGCAAAUUUAGCAAACUCUAAUAAGAUAAAGUAGCAAUUAUUAGUUUUUUAACAUAAUUGUGACAGUGACUAGCUGGCAGUUUUUGUGGGGCGCAAUUCUCAAAAAAAGUAUCUGAGUAAGUCCGAUUAAUUAAAAGCACUCCAUAAUUAUUAGUAAUAAUAAUUAAGCUUAAUUUAAAACAUAAAGGUUUGGUUAAACCCAAUGGAAAUGGGCAGAUGAAUUCUCUAAAAUUUGCAGCGUCGUUAAAAGAGGUUUGAAUAAACACUGACACUGCAGCAAAAAGAAUUUGGUCGACUAUAUAAUAAUUAUAGUCGAUUAAGCAUAAUCUAACAACAAGUGUAAUGGCAUAACCAAGCCUAACUGCGAGACCUACAAGUCGAGCAGACACGUAAGUGGGGCAUAGUGACCAGAUGGUUCAUCAUGGAAUGGCCAUCGUUUAACGAAUAAAGUUACGCUAGGGAUAACAGGCUAAUGGCGCAAGAGAGUCCAUAUUGGCCGCGCAGUUUGGCACCUCGAUGUCGACUCGACCUAUCCUCCCGGUGUAGGUGCUGGGAAGGGUUCGGCUGUUCGCCGAGUAAAAGGUCACGCGAGUUGGGUUAAGUACGUCGUGAGACAGUACGGUCCCUAUCUUCUAUGGGAAAUUAGAGUCGAAAAAGGAUCUGUCCUUUGUACGCAAGGAUUUGGAUGGACUAACCUCUUGUUUACCUGUUGUUUAUUUUUAAAGCUAAGAUUAAUUUCGCAGUUUUGUAAUUCAUAUGGCGUCGAAAAAAUAACUA